AUCCAGCAGGCAUUAGCUCAGUUGGUAGAGCAUGAGACUCUUAAUUUCAGGGUCAUGAUUUCGAGCCCCACGCUGGGCA